rnacentral:rRNA from 1 species
UACGUAGGGGGCUAGCGUUGUCCGGAAUCAUUGGCGUAAAGAGCGCGUAGGCGGCCAGAUAAGUCCGGUGUGAAAGUCACAGGCUCAACCUGUGAAUGCCGCUGGAAACUGUCUGGCUAGAGUCCGGGAGGGGCGAGUGGGAAUUCCGUGGUGUAGCGGUGAAAAUGCGCAGAUAUCAGGAGGAACACCGAUGGCGAAGGCAGGGUCUCUGGGCCACUACUGACGCUGAGAAGCGAAAGCAUGGGGGAGCGAACAGG